UCAGGUACUAGGUGACUCUGAGUGGAAUGGUCUCAGAGACGCCUCGUGCCUCAGCA
rnacentral:pre_miRNA from 1 species